CUUCCCCGUCAACCACCCUACAGCAGUCCGCCAUAGCCACGCCGGAAAAAUCAACCAGUCCAGUCGCGGCUUCCAUCGUCGACCACCCUAGACCUCACGUCAAACGACCAAACCACACUUCCACCAAGCACUAGUCCACUGCCCAGUCACGCCAAACCCACCGACCGACAUCCAGUCCGUCAACCUCACGUCGCCAUUGACGCAGCAGGUGCUGCGUCGUUCAUCUUCCUCAGCCCAGCGACAAACCAUGUAACGGACCAAACGUCCACCAGUUAUUUUCCGGCGAGUUUCGAGUGCGAUUUGGAGUAGAGGUUCGAGUUUUCCGUCGAGGUCCGUUUGUAGUUCCGUCAAGGGUCGAUAAAUUUUCCGGGUAUGUUUUGUUGCGUUGUUUUAUCUAGUUAUAGGUAUGUGACUAUACUUUUUGAGUUUUGUUAAGAUAUUAAUCGAAAAUCUGGGUUACAUACUACUUUGUGUUUGUUAUGAAUAUUCAUGCAUUUUCUUGCUUGAGUAUAAUACCGAGUAUAACAUGCCUGCCUUCAACUUGUAGGUUGUUAUUUUGCAUUGCAUUUUGUUAAAUGUGUUUGGAUAGUUAAUAUUUAAUUAUUUGUCUUAAUAGGUGCCUAUAUAUGUUCUGAAAAGAUUAUAUUAAUUUUAAUUCCUCAAAAAUGCUUUUUUCAUCAAAUAAGCUCAAUUCAUAUUUCGUGACCCUCGUGUUGUGAUUUUUAAUCCCUCAGAAAUUAGGGUGUGUUUUAGCUGAAUUUCCAUGGUCCUAGAUUGGAACAUGCGUAACAUUGUUAAUAAACUUGGACUUUGGGAUUUUGAGCCUUUCAAUUAUUUAGGUUGUUUUUAUUUUUUAAAAUAGAAAACAUAGUCACUUUAAUAUAUCCUUAAAAUAAAUGAGGUGUGCCUCUCCAAAUUAAAUCGCAAAUUGCGGGGCCAUCAUAAAUGUAUAUAUUAAAAAUACUUAGACUCCGGGAUGGGCCGUUUAGCUAAUUGCACGGCCUUCCCCAAAAUAAUAACGCGUUAGACUCGUUAGGAGCGUAUUUUAAUAACAUUACCUUCUUAAACCUGGGUGUACAUUGAUGUGACCCAAAUCCAAGUCUCAACGAAGUCAGAAUAUGUCGACGAUCACAUGUCAACUGGUUGGGACGUGGUUCGAGAUGCAUUUUCACGAUGUUGCAAUUCUUUUUAAAAAAAAAUUAACAAAUGAGGCGUGCCUCGCCAAUUAAAAUACGUAAGUUGCGAGGCCCUCUAUACGUGUUUGUAGAGUUAGUCAACUUCGGACGGGCCGUUUAGCAAAACUGCACGGCCUUCUCCAAGAGCGACUGUGCUAGAACCACGGAACUCGGAAAUGCUUAACACCUUCUCCCGUGUUAACAGAAUUCCUUAUCCGGAUUUCUGGUUUGCGGACUGUGAUACAGAGUCAAUCUUUUUUCCUCGAUUCGGGAUUCAAUCGGUGACUUGGGACACUAUAAAUCUCCCAAGUGGCGACUCUGAAUCUUUAAUAACAAAUCUCGUUUCGAUUGUCCUUUAAUUGGAAAAACUUACUCUACGCCCCUGCGGGUGCCGGAAUAUGGAGGUGUGACAAUAUGUUCGAAUCUUUUCCUCCAUGUUUUGCUGCGACUAAUGCUGGUUCUGGUGGUGUUCACCGCGAACACAUGGGGUUGAUCAAGUUUACUAAGAGGUAUUUGAGCUGGAGGAUAUUUGAUCAUUGUGUUCGUGAUUGGGAACCUGCGUUUGCGAAGGUACGGGUGGAUGUGCAUCGCGAUAGGAGAUCGCUUUCGCGAAUGGGAAAAAGGUUGGGCCUGGAAACUUGGCUUUCGCGUUCGCGUUGGAGUGUCCGCAUCCGCGAAGAGGUGGCCUGAUGAAGCGUCAUGUUCGUGACCCCUGUCUCGCAUUCGCGAAGGGGAGUUUUGGAUCUGGAGCAGGAUGCUCUUCGCGAAUGUGAGGGUAAGGUCACAUUCGCGAAGAAGGUGGGGCUGGGUAGUGUUGUUUUUAAGACGAGAGGUGUGGUUCAUUUUCACUUCACUUCUUCCACAGGAUCCGACUUUGGAUUAAUUUUUGGAGCUCCAUUUUCAUAGUCAAUCAUGAGGUAAGUGAUUCUACACAUUGUGAGUUAAAUAUGAAUUUAAACAUGAGAUUUUAUGCAAAUUUUGGGAUUGGUAGAAUAUCUAGAAUGUUGUAUUUUUGAAUGUUGACCAUGAAAUUGCAUAUGAAAUUAGAAAUAAAUUAUAUAUUUGAGUUUGUGAUGUUAUGGGUAAUGAUUAUCUUCAAGAAUUUUUAGAAUCUGGUUACAUGGGCCCGAUGGUUGACUUUGUUGACUUUUCGAGCGGAGUUAAAAAUUAUUAUAAAUUAAUUUAAUAUCAGUGUUGUGGUAUAUUUUGAUUGAUUUGCAUGUUGUUUGGGUAGUUUUGGAUCAAUGGGCGUUGCUUGAGGUGUUAGAAAGGCAUUGGAGCCGGCUAUUGGAACUUUGGAAUGAGGUAAGUCUCCUGUCUAAACUUGUGAGGUAGGUAUUAAAUUGUUAUGUGCUACUAGUUGUGGGUGUUGCGUACGCACGAGGUGACGAAAGUUCGUACGUAGUUAAAGCAUGUUUAUAUCUGGGUAGACUUAGGACUCUAUCAUGUAAUACUUGAGUUAUUUGAACCCAAUUUGCUAGAGUGAUUAAUUGAAUGUAUAAUUUGGAAUCAAUUCAGGAACAUAUUAGGCCGAGCCUUAUCACCGUGAGUUAUUGGUAAAUUAUUUGAGAAAUGGUGGAGUUUAUUUUCACUUUAUGCUUUUGUACCUGUAUUGUAAGCACAUGACUCAUAAUUCGACAAGUUCCUUCAUUUCUUGUGGAUUGGGCCAAACCCCUCGUUAGUAUAUUGAGAUGCUUCACGUCGAUUACACACCACUCUGGAUCGGGUCGAAUGAUCUUAGCAUCAUCGUGUGUGAUAUCGCUAGCAGUUCGAAUAUUCAUGAGAUUUUCCCUUUUAUUGGGACUGAUCGUUUAUAUGGUAUUCCUUAUCCGUUUGAGAUUGCAUUUGAUAUUUCUUAUAUGUUGAGAUAGCAUAGGGGAUUUGAGAAAUUUAUAUUGUCGAAAUAAAUGUUGGAGGAUUAUGUUAGCUACUGUUUACCUCAUUAUCAUUGUUUUACUUCAUAUCUAUUAAUGAUUUUCCAUACUAAUUUAUUGGACCACUAGUAAGUAUCGAUAUCGAUCAUCGUCACUACUUCUCUGGGGUUAGGCUAGAUACUUACUGGGUACCCAUUGAUUUACAUACUCAUGCUAUACUUCUGCACUAAAUAUGCAGGAUCUGACAGGUUCAAUUGGUGGCCAUCUUAGUGCGUAGGCGCAAUUGCUGCGGGGUCUUCAUGGUGAGCUGUUUUUAUUCUACGCACCGCAACCCAUAGAGUCUUCAUCUUACUUAUUUACUUUAUCCGGUCUAUUUUAUACUUCAGACAUAUGUUUUAUUAUUAUUGCACUCUUUAGUAGAUGCUCAUGCACUUGUAACUCCGGAUUUUGGGAUAUUUUAUUUGAUGUAUACAGAUUUGCAUAUUAUCAUCACCUUUUAUUUUUAUGCCUUACUAAUUAUGUAUAAACCUAUGAUUUUAAAUGCGUAAAUUUCUUUACUUAAUAAAAUUUAUGUUUUCGAAAGUAAUAAAAUACGCAAUCACGUAAUAGGGUGUUAGUCUUUCCUCA
rnacentral:lncRNA from 1 species